GUGGGGAAUCUUGCGCAAUGGGCGAAAGCCUGACGCAGCCAUGCCGCGUGGAUGAUGAAGGUCUUAGGAUUGUAAAAUCCUUUCACCGGUGAAGAUAAUGACUGUAGCCGGAGAAGAAGCCCCGGCUAACUUCGUGCCAGCAGCCGCGGUAAUACGAAGGGGGCUAGCGUUGCUCGGAAUUACUGGGCGUAAAGGGCGCGUAGGCGGACAGCUUAGUCAGAGGUGAAAGCCCAGGGCUCAACCUUGGAAUUGCCUUUGAUACUGGCUGUCUUGAGUUUGGGAGAGGUGAGUGGAACUCCGAGUGUAGAGGUGAAAUUCGUAGAUAUUCGGAAGAACACCAGUGGCGAAGGCGACUCACUGGCCCAAUACUGACGCUGAGGCGCGAAAGCGUGGGGAGCAAACAGGAUUAGAAACCCUUGUAGUCC
rnacentral:rRNA from 1 species